GAGAAGAAAAUGGCGCCCUCCUUGGGCGGGUGGGGUCCGAGAGGAGGCGGAGGGGCACCUGUGUGGGGCCGAGGGCCGCCGGGGCUGAGCGGGUCAGUGGGUGCGAGGGGGAGGAAGCGAGCGACGUCCUGGAGCCGGAGGGGGUGAAUCCCAGGGAGGUGCGUUUAUUCAACAAACUCCUCCCCGUGCGCCUGCCACCCGCCCAGCGGCGCGCGCGGGGCGGACACGGGGCGAGCCCUCCUGGAGUUUAUAGGCGAGGGGCGAGACAGGCGACCAGCUAACCAGAUCUUUACUCGGACGGAGAACGCGGUGAAGGGACCCAGUUCUGGAGGUGAGAAGUCCAAGAUCAAGGGUCAGCAGAGGUGGUUUCUUCUAAGGAGCCUGAGGGAAGAAUCUGUUCCAGGCCUCUCUCCUUGACUUGAGGAGUGUUAGUUAUUCUUUUCUUUACAAUUUAGAUCAGAGUUCAUCAAACUGAAGAGCCACAUACAGUCCUGAGGGAGAGGACCUCAUAUCAUCUUUGGUUCCUGGACAUGAUGAGGGAAACGAUGUCGGGUGGUACUUUGUGUUUCACCCUUUUGGGAAGAAAGUGAUUAUUUAUACAAAAGUUGGUUGAAUUCUGCGAGGUAGAAACAUGACAUUGUUUUAUGGGAGUUAGGCAUGGGUGGAAGGAGGAGUAUGGAUGCUUCGUGGCAAAAUGGGUGAACUGUGGUAGCCAUUUGUCUGUUUACUGUCAGAUUUCUCUCUCAUUUUUCCUGCGCUCUGCUCAGUAUGGCAGGGACCUGUGUCUCCCAGACUCCCUUGCAUCUGACUAGUGGAUAGCACUGGACAGUGGAAAACAGGAAGACAGGAUAGGAGGAGAAAAGUCUGUAUGUUUCUCUCUUGUGUCUGUCUCUGCCUCCAUCUUUAGCAGUGACUGGGACUCCUCUCUUUAUUGUCCCCACUCGUGCCUGGCUACUCAUGCUAGGUUCUAGUGAUUUCUGGACAUUCUACAAUUUUUCCUUCAGCCUUAGGAGUGCUAUUGCCUUCAUUUAAAAGAAAAAAUUAUGGGUUGCUCCGCUCUCUCUUGUGUACUCCUCAUUUUAUAUGUCCAGUUCCCUGCGUUAAAUUCCUACUGUUUAAAUACCAAGAAUAGUAGUAUCUGUUUUCCUAACUGGACCCUGACUAGUGAUAAAAUCUCUGUGUGUGCAUGUAUGUGCGCAUGUGUGUGGUAUAAAUCAGUUUGUAUAAAAUAUUAAAUAAGCAUGUGAGUGUGUGCCUGUGUGUGUGUAUUCAUGUGGUAGGUAUGUAAAUGUAUAUGAAAGGAUUAUUGAAGGGUAGGUUUUCAAAGGGAGAGUAAAGGGGGGG